CCCAAAUUGGUAUUAAUUACGCAAGCCGUGUAGCUGCCAUUUGUUUUGCCAUUGCGAAAUGCAACGUAUUUGCAGUGAGUCAACUUGUUUUCGCUGUACCAGCCGCACUUAAUUGUGUUUUUAUUUGCAUUCAACUCGCGGAAAAUCGAAUGAAUCGGAAUUGAUUGUUCCAAGAAGCGAUGCGAGGGCAGCCACAGUGAUUCACAUGGGGACUCGCAUCUCUUAACCGCUCAACCCGCCAUCCAUACGUCCAUCCAACUAGCCAUCCAUCCAUCCGCGGCGCAGACAUAGCCACCCACCACCCAUCACCCAUCAUUAUAAGCAGCUGCUCCCGAAUCUUAUCAUGGGAAGAGGGUCUAAGGUCCAAGCAAAUAAUACCCAGCCGCAACAGCCAUGGCAAUAACAAUAGUGCUGGCGACAGCGGGAACAAAAGUAACGCAUGGAGCCAGCCCCUCCACGCGCACACUUGGAGCCAACAACACAUGACAUGGUCGACGUUCGUCAGCCGGUCGUAUGACGAGAGUCUCCCCCGAUUUCACCUUCCCUUCGGAAGUCUGCAGUCGCCUACGCAUGAACCUCGAACAUACUUACAAGUGCGGCCAUGAUAAUAGAGAUCUGACACAUAAAUAGUUCUUAAUAGUUGGAACUGGAAAGGAAAUCGUCGGACAGCUUGGUAAUUGUGGAAAAUUGUGUGCAAAUAUUAAAUAUUGUCUUUGAUUUC
ensembl:ncRNA lncRNA:CR44034 long non-coding RNA:CR44034